GUGCCAGCAGCCGCGGUAAUUCCAGCUCCAAUAGCGUAUAUUAAAGUUGUUGUGGUUAAAAAGCUCGUAGUUGAACCUUGGGCCUGGCUGGCCGGUCCGCCUCACCGCGUGCACUGGUCCGGCCGGGCCUUUCCCUCUGUGGAACCCCAUACCCUUCACUGGGCGUGGCGGGGAAACAGGACAUUUACUUUGAAAAAAUUAGAGUGCUCCAGGCAGGCCUAUGCUCGAAUACAUUAGCAUGGAAUAAUAAAAUAGGACGCGCGGUUCUAUUUUGUUGGUUUAUAGGACCGCCGUAAUGAUUAAUAGGGACAGUCGGGGGCAUCAGUAUUCAACUGUCAGAGGUGAAAUUCUUGGAUCAGUUGAAGACUAACUACUGCGAAAGCAUUUGCCAAGGAUGUUUUCAUUAAUCAGGAACGAAAGUUAGGGGAUCGAAGACGAUCAGAUACCGUCGUAGUCUUAACCAUAAACUAUGCCGACUAGGGAUCGGACGGUGUUAUUCAUGACCCGUUCGGCACCUUACGAGAAAUCAAAGUGCUUGGGGCUCCAGGGGGAGUAUGGUCGCAAGGCUGAAACUUAAAGAAAUUGACGGAAGGGCACCACCAGGGGUGAGCCUGCGGCUUAAUUUGACUCAACACGGGGAAACUCACCAGGUCCAGACACAAUAAGGAUUGACAGAUUGAGAGCUCUUUCUUGAUUUUGUGGGUGGGUGUGCAUGGCCGUUCUUAGUUGGUGGGGUGACUUGUCUGGCUUAAUUUGCGAUAACGAACGAGACCUUACCUGCUAAAUAGCCCGGCAUUGCUCCCGGCAGUGCGCUGCCUUCUUAAGAGGGACUUUCGCUCAAGCCGAAAGAAGUUUUGAGGGCA
rnacentral:rRNA from 1 species